CGCCUGUUUAUCAAAAACAUGUCCUUUUGUUAAUUGUUUAAGGUUUGGCCUGCUCCAUGAUUAUUAAAUAGCCGCAGUAUUUUGACUGUGCAAAGGUAGCAUAAUCAUUAGUUUUUUAAUUGAAAGCUGGAAUGAAGGGUCGGAUGAGGAAAUGACUGUCUCAUUUUAAUUUGAAUUGAAUUUUAUUUUUAAGUCAAAAAGCUUAAAUUGUAUAGAAAGACGAGAAGACCCUAUAGAGUUUAAUAAUUUAAGGAUAUAAAGGGAUCUUAGGUUUUAAGUAACUAAUAGGAGUGUACUAUUUAGUUGGGGUGACGCGGAAUUGGAUGAAACUUCUCUAUAUUUAAACAUUGAUUGAUGAAUAUUUGAUCCUUACUUUGAGAUUAAAAGAAUAAAUUACCUUAGGGAUAACAGCGUUAUUUUUUCAUAGAGUUCUUAUCGAUGAAAAAGAUUGCGACCUCGAUGUUGGAUUAAAGUUAAUUUCUGGUGCAGAAGCUGGGAAAUUAAGUCUGUUCGACUUUUAAAACUUUACGUGAUCUGAGUUUAGACCGG
rnacentral:rRNA from 1 species